UCCUCCAAAAACAAACUCAUUUUUCACGAAGAAGCAUAAGGAAAUUUUGCAUUCGAAAUAAGCGUUCUUAUUCUUUUUCUCUCAUUUUCUUAGCCAACCAAAAUAAAUGGAUUGUACAAAGUGGUGAGACGAUG
ensembl:ncRNA F54B11.13 ncRNA